UACGUAGGCAGCGAGCGUUGUUCGGAAUUACUGGGCGUAAAGAGUGUGUAGGCGGUGCUCUAAGUUCGGUGUGAAAUCUCCUGGCUCAACUGGGAGGGUGCGCCGGAAACUGGAGUGCUUGAGCGUGGGAGAGGAAAGCGGAAUUCCUGGUGUAGCGGUGAAAUGCGUAGAUAUCAGGAGGAACACCUGUGGUGUAGACGGCUUUCUGGACCAUUACUGACGCUGAGGCGCGAAAGCGUUGGGGAGCAAACAGG
rnacentral:rRNA from 1 species